rnacentral:rRNA from 1 species
GCUCGAGUGGCGAACGGGUGAGUAACACGUGAGUAACCUGCCCUUGACUUUGGGAUAACUUCAGGAAACUGGGGCUAAUACCGGAUAGGAGCUCCUGCUGCAUGGUGGGGGUUGGAAAGUUUCGGCGGUUGGGGAUGGGCUCGCGGCUUAUCAGCUUGUUGGUGGGGUAGUGGCUUACCAAGGCUUUGACGGGUAGCCGGCCUGAGAGGGUGACCGGCCACAUUGGGACUGAGAUACGGCCCAG